AAACCAAGAAAUUUAGUCAUUCUUUUACGGUAAAAAGACAGUUAGGCAAAAAAUUAGGAAUCAUUGGAUCUUUAGUAUAGGAGUAAAAUCUAGAUACUAAAAGUUAUACCUGGCAUGAUUUGUUUAAGGGCUGAAUCUGUGAUAGCUUUAAGGGAAACUGGGAUUGGAUACCCCAUUAUUUCUAGUUGUAAAUUUAGUUUGGGCUUACCGGAGUACUACGAAUAUAAAAGUUUAAAACUCAAAGGGCUUGGCGGUGUUUUAGACCUCUUAGGGGAACCUGUCUCGUAAUCGACAAUCCACGUUAAACCUAACCCUUUGUGGCAUGACAGCCUGUAUACCGUCGUCGUCAGGUAACUUCUUAAAAUAUAGUAGUUAGCUCGAGAACAUUGUUGGUUAAAACGUCAGAUCAAGGUGCAGCUAAUAAAAGGGUGAGGAUGGGUUACAAUUAUAUAUUUAUAAGUAUGAAUAGACAUUUGAAAUGAAAUGUCUUGAAGGAGGACUUAAAAGUAAUUUUGAUUAUAUAAAUAAAAUGAAUAUGGCUCUGAAACGUG
rnacentral:rRNA from 1 species